AGUAAUGUUUGUUGUAAACGGCGGCGUUAACGUGAGCGUCCUAAGGUAGCGCGAUAAUUUGCUUUUCAAUUGAAGGAUGGUAUGAAAGGGUUAACGAAGAAGGUGCUGUGUCUAAAAAUUCAAUUUAAACUAACUUAAAGGUGAAGAGGCCUUUAUGUAAAAGAAGGACGACAAGACCCUAUGAAGCUUUAUCUUAAUUGGAGCUUUCAGGCUCUUAUACGAUUUUGAUGGGAGAUCAGUAGAAAUAAGUCCUCUACUAUUAUAUUAAUCUUACUAGUAUUUCCUAACUUUAUAUGUGUGACUAGCUACUCUAGGGAUAACAGCGCAAUUUCUCCCGAAAGAUGGUAUUGGAGGGGAAGAUUGCGACCUCGAUGUUGGCUUUAGAUACCCUAGA
rnacentral:rRNA from 1 species